AUUUUAUACAAUUUUUAUAUAUUUUUUUUAUUUAAUAUAAUGUGCAUAUCCUGCCGAUGUACUGGAAUCUUAAGCUGCCUAGGAAAUUUAUCUUAUGUAUUUGAAAGGCUAGCAUCAUGCUGCGCUAUGACUGCUGUUGUGUCCUGUAUCGUCACCACAUUGAUUUUUAUGCUGGGAAUUGGCGUCGGUCUUGGCUACAACUAUUGUUACGUUGACUUUACUUCUGGGCAGCGUGCCAGCGCUGAUGCAUUUGAUUCCUUUGAGGACCUCAUGGUGAUUCCUGUAAAUGAUACAGAGUCUGACGACAGAUCGAGCAAAGAUUCGAGGAAGUCGUUCCAGCCUUUCGACCUACCUAUUAACAGGAAUGUCAAGUUAUCUGUACCCCUGAAUGAGGGCAUUGACUUUACACAACUUCUGAAUAAAAUAAGAAGUUCACGAAAGAAUGUAACUCUUCAAUUAAUUGUUUAGGAGAGGUAGGAAAUAAUGUGGAGGACAAAGGUACACAAGCAAGAGUACCAGACAGUAACAAUAAUGACGAUAUAAGAUUAAAAACUGAACUCGUGCCACGAACUACAUUCAAAAUAAUUAGCUAUUUUCUCUGUGAAAAACUUCAGUAGCGCAUUGGUAUUUUUGUAAUCUACGAACACUAUCCAAUAAUUUUUGUAGUGAAUUAUACAAUGUAUAGUGUUUGAAAUGUCAAACUGAU